ensembl:miRNA Gm22402 predicted gene, 22402
UGGAUGUUAGUGUCCUGGUUGUGAUAUCUUAGUUUAGCCAUUCAAGAUAUUUCCAUUGGGCUGGAGAGAUGGCUCAGCCGUUAAAGGCUAGGCUCACAACCAAAAAUAUA